rnacentral:rRNA from 1 species
CAUCAACCCUGUGAACAUACCUAUAACGUUGCCUCGGCGGGAACAGACGGCCCCGUAACACGGGCCGCCCCCGCCAGAGGACCCCCUAACUCUGUUUCUAUAAUGUUUCUUCUGAGUAAACAAGCAAAUAAAUUAAAACUUUCAACAACGGAUCUCUUGGCUCUGGCAUCGAUGAAGAACGCAGCGAAAUGCGAUAAGUAAUGUGAAUUGCAGAAUUCAGUGAAUCAUCGAAUCUUUGAACGCACAUUGCGCCCGCCAGUAUUCUGGCGGGCAUGCCUGUUCGAGCGUCAUUACAACCCUCAGGCCCCCGGGCCUGGCGUUGGGGAUCGGCGGAAGCCCCCUGCGGGCACAACGCCGUCCCCCAAAUACAGUGGCGGUCCCGCCGCAGCUUCCAUUGCGUAGUAGCUAACACCUCGCAACUGGAGAGCGGCGCGGCCACGCCGUAAAACACCCAACUUCUGAAUGUUGACCUCGAAUCAGGUAGGAAUACCCGCUGAACUUAAGCAUAUC